CUCGGAAUACAAAACUGAAGCCAAAAAUCUCAGCGGUUUCCCCCAUGAAAAUAGGCGGCGGCCAUAUUGGAGCAGCUGGGAAAUUUGUCGCGCAUGCGCCAGAUUUCCAUUGAAACUUGAAGAUUUUCCCGAAGAAAUAACGAGAUGUUCGUGGUUGUUGUAUAUUUUUGAAUGCCUGUUUAAUCUUUAUAAUUUUUUGCUCAAGACAAAGUAAAAUGUACUCUACGUUUCCAGUGUAUGGUGGCCCAUCAUUAUCACCGCUAUUUUCAGGAAUAUUUUGCACAUUUUAUGUUAUUUUAAUUAUUGUUUUCUUUAUAAAAUUGAAAAUAACUUGAAUAUGUAUGACAAAUUGGA